rnacentral:rRNA from 1 species
UCGAGCGUCCAGAUAAGGAGCUUGCUCCUUUGACGUUAACGGCGGACGGGUGAGUAACACGUGGGUAACCUACCUAUAAGACUGGAAUAACUCCGGGAAACCGGGGCUAAUGCCGGAUAACAUGUUGAACCGCAUGGUUCUACAGUGAAAGGCGGCUUUGCUGUCACUUAUAGAUGGACCCGCGCCGUAUUAGCUAGUUGGUGAGGUAAUGGCUCACCAAGGCAACGAUACGUAGCCGACCUGAGAGGGUGAUCGGCCACACUGGAACUGAGACACGGUCCAGACUCCUACGGGAGGCAGCAGUAGGGAAUCUUCCGCAAUGGGCGAAAGCCUGACGGAGCAACGCCGCGUGAGUGAUGAAGGUCUUCGGAUCGUAAAACUCUGUUAUUAGGGAAGAACAAAUGCGUAAGUAACUGUGCGCGUCUUGACGGUACCUAAUCAGAAAGCCACGGCUAACUACGUGCCAGCAGCCGCGGUAAUACGUAGGUGGCAAGCGUUAUCCGGAAUUAUUGGGCGUAAAGCGCGCGUAGGCGGUUUUUUAAGUCUGAUGUGAAAGCCCACGGCUCAACCGUGGAGGGUCAUUGGAAACUGAAAAACUUGAGUGCAGAAGAGGAAAGUGGAAUUCCAUGUGUAGCGGUGAAAUGCGCAGAGAUAUGGAGGAACACCAGUGGCGAAGGCGACUUUCUGGUCUGUAACUGACGCUGAUGUGCGAAAGCGUGGGGAUCAAACAGGAUUAGAUACCCUGGUAGUCCACGCCGUAAACGAUGAGUGCUAAGUGUUAGGGGGUUUCCGCCCCUUAGUGCUGCAGCUAACGCAUUAAGCACUCCGCCUGGGGAGUACGGCCGCAAGGCUUAAACUCAAAGGAAUUGACGGGGACCCGCACAAGCGGUGGAGCAUGUGGUUUAAUUCGAAGCAACGCGAAGAACCUUACCAAAUCUUGACUUCCUUUGACCGCUCUAAAGAUAGAAUCUUCCCCUUCGGGGGACAAAGUGACAGGUGGUGCAUGGUUGUCGUCAGCUCCGG